CCUACGGGGCGCUGCAGUGGGGAAUAUUGGACAAUGGGCGAAAGCCUGAUCCAGCCAUGCCGCGUGUGUGAAGAAGGCCUUCGGGUUGUAAAGCACUUUCAGUGGGGAAGAAAGCCUUGGGGCUAAUACCCUCGAGGAAGGACAUCACCCACAGAAGAAGCACCGGCUAACUCCGUGCCAGCAGCCGCGGUAAUACGGAGGGUGCGAGCGUUAAUCGGAAUUACUGGGCGUAAAGCGCGCGUAGGCGGUCUGAUAAGCCGGUUGUGAAAGCCCCGGGCUCAACCUGGGAACGGCAUCCGGAACUGUCAGGCUAGAGGGCAGGAGAGGAAGGUAGAAUUCCCGGUGUAGCGGUGAAAUGCGUAGAGAUCGGGAGGAAUACCAGUGGCGAAGGCGGCCUUCUGGACUGACACUGACGCUGAGGUGCGAAAGCGUGGGUAGCAAACAGGAUUAGAUACCCUUGUAGUC
rnacentral:rRNA from 1 species